rnacentral:rRNA from 1 species
CCUACGGGUGGCAGCAGUGAGGAAUAUUGGUCAAUGGACGCAAGUCUGAACCAGCCAUGCCGCGUGCAGGAAGACGGCUCUAUGAGUUGUAAACUGCUUUUGUACGAGGGUAAACGCAGAUACGUGUAUCUGUUUGAAAGUAUCGUACGAAUAAGGAUCGGCUAACUCCGUGCCAGCAGCCGCGGUAAUACGGAGGAUUCAAGCGUUAUCCGGAUUUAUUGGGUUUAAAGGGUGCGUAGGCGGUCGGAUAAGUUAGAGGUGAAAUCCCGAGGCUUAACUUCGGAAUUGCCUUGGAUACUGUUCGGCUAGAGAGUAGUAGCGGUAGGCGGAAUGUAUGGUGUAGCGGUGAAAUGCUUAGAGAUCAUACAGAACACCGAUUGCGAAGGCAGCUUACCGAGCUACUUCUGACGUUGAGGCACGAAAGCGUGGGGAGCAAACAGGAUUAGAUACCCUAGUAGUC